CUCUGGGGCAUGGCCACAUUCCCACAUGGGAAUAAUGUAUGUUUGUGGAUGUCACAGGUGACAACAUCCAAGUGUGGGCUGAGGCAUCCCCCUCAGCCAAUAAACCAGGGUGCACACUUUUGUAAAAUGAAUGCAUUCACUGAGAACAAAGACUAUACUAACUAGGAUGUCCAUGAAACGCAGCAAAAAGGCAAUCAGCCCUCUGGUUUGGCUGUUCUCUACUCUUCCUUAUAAAGUAGAACUUAGAGAACUGCUCAGAAAAUAUGUAUCGGUUGGAAUGAGGAUGUUAAAUGAGGCAGACAAGGAGGAUUUGCUACUUAGGGAUACUGAACAUCACUUCUGUGCUUGAGGAGUCCUGCAGUUUGGAUGAAGGUCACAGGUUAUCUCCAGCUGCAUAAAAAUGAGUGAUAAAUAUCUACUGUUUCUCUUAGACUGAAAGCAGUGUUAAACAAAGAGUAUUAAAAUAAGGAAUAUUACUCAAAAAUCAUCCCAUGGUUUUCUAAAGACGGCAAUCUUCUAUUAGAAGACAGUUUGUUACCUCCUCCAUAUAUUAAAGCUGUAACAUAAUAAUAAAAGCAGCUCAAACUUGUUGAAGUAUCAAAGAUACAUAGAUUAAAUAAGAUCUAUGCAGUGAGAGCACCCUAAAAACAUCACAAGAGCAGUGACAAUUUCUGAGAUAGUAAUGACAUGAACCAAUAUUUAAGAGUUAAGUCUAAAUGAAGAAGAUAAUUUUUCAACUAAUGGAAAAUGUGGGAAUAAAGGAUGAGAUAUGUGAUUAAAUUUCAUAGUGUAUUAACAAAG